rnacentral:rRNA from 1 species
GACGAACGCUGGCGGCGUGCUUAACACAUGCAAGUCGAACGGGAUCCAUGUUGUAGCAAUACUUCGGAAGAUCUAGUGGCGAACGGGUGAGGAACACGUGAGAAACCUGCCCCGAACUUCGGGACAACAGUUGGAAACGAAUGCUAAUACCGAAUACCUCUGCGAAGUGGCAUCACUUUGCAAAGAAAGAAUUUCGGUUCGGGAGGGUCGCGCGGCCUAUCAGCUAGUUGGUGGGGUAACGGCCUACCAAGGCAUCGACGGGUAGCUGGUCUGAGAGGAUGAUCAGCCACACUGGGACUGAGACACGGCCCAGACUCCUACGGGAGGCAGCAGUGGGGAGUCUUGUGCAAUGGGCGAAAGCCUGACACAGCAACGCCGCGUGCGGGAAUAAGGCCUUCGGGUCGUAAACCGCUUUCAGCAGGAACGAAAAUGACGGUACCUGCAGAAGAAGGUGCGGCCAACUACGUGCCAGCCGCCGCAGUAA